UACGAAGGUCCCGAGCGUUGUUCGGAAUCACUGGGCGUAAAGGGAGCGUAGGCGGCGCGGUAAGUCAGAUGUGAAAUCCCGGGGCUCAACCCCGGAACUGCAUCCGAUACUGCCGUGCUAGAGUAUUGGAGAGGUAGCUGGAAUUCUUGGUGUAGCAGUGAAAUGCGUGGAGAUCAAGAGGAACACUCGUGGCGAAAGCGAGCUACUGGACAAUUACUGACGCUGAGGCUCGAAGGCCAGGGUAGCGAAA
rnacentral:rRNA from 1 species